AAUGAACGCUGGCGGCGCGCCUAAUACAUGCAAGUCGAGCGAGAAGACGUAGCAAUACGUUUGUAAAGCGGCGAACGGGUGAGGAAUACAUGGGUAACCUACCCUAGAGUGGGGAAUAACUAGCCGAAAGGUUAGCUAAUACCGCGUACGCUCCUUGGACUUCGGUUCAGGGAGGAAAGCGAUGCCGAGGGUAUCGCGCUCUUGGAUGGGCUCAUGUCCUAUCAGCUUGNGGUGAGGUAACGGCUCACCAAGGCUUCGACGGGUAGCUGGUCUGAGAGGACGAUCAGCCACACUGGCACUGCGACAC
rnacentral:rRNA from 1 species